AUUGAACGCUGGCGGCAGGCCUAACACAUGCAAGUCGAACGGUAACAGGAAACAUCUUGCUGUUUCGCGGAGGAGAGGCGGACGGGUGAGCAAUGUCUGGGAAACGGCCUGAUGGAGGGGGAUAACUACUGGAAACGGUAGCUAAUACCGCAUAACGUCGCAAGACCAAAGAGGGGGACCUUCGGGCCUCUUGCCAUCAGCUGGGCCCAGAUGGGUUGAGCUAGUAGGUGGGGCAACGGCUGACCUAGGCGAGGAUCCCUAGCGGGUCGGAGGGGAGGACCGGCACCACUGGACCUGAGACCCGGUCACGCCUCCUACGGGAGGCAGCGGUGGGAAUUAUUGCCCAAUGGGCGCAAGCCUGAUGCAGCCAUGCCGCGUGUAUGAAGAAGUCCUCCGGGUUGUAAAGUCCUUUCAGCGGGGAGGAAGGGAGUAAAGUUAAUCCCUUUGCUCAUUGCCGUUCCCCGCAGAAGAAGCCCCGGCUACCUCCGU
rnacentral:rRNA from 1 species